CAUGUUCUAUGUCUCUCUCUCUCAAAAACAAACAAGCAAACAAACAUUUAAAAACUUUAAAAAAAAGGACUGUUAAUCUCAUUUGGUCCUUUGACUAUGUUCUAGCAUUGGGGUAGAUGAUACAAUCAAGACUUAAGUUGAACUAAAAGUGGAGGAAUUCAGUCACACUGUUAUAAAAUUAGAAAAAUUGAAUUAUCUGGAAAACACGUUAUCAUUUGUAAGGAGAGUGGAGCCAAAUCACAUUUUAACACCUUGGGAGGGAGGGGAAAUCUUGUCUUUGCUUUCGUUGAGGUGCACCAUGUCCAGCUGCUUUCAAAUUAGCCUACCCACCACAUUUGGUAUGUAUUUCUAAGGGUCUGGUUUUCUACUCCGAAGAAGAAAAGGGCAGUUAACCACGAAGAAUAUUUUUAGAUAGUUGGGGUCCGGAAAUACUUCAGUUACUUAUCGUGACCGCAGUAUGUUUGCAUUUUAUCCCACUGCUUCAUUGGAGGAAACCGUGGGGUAGAGUAAUGUUUUGGAUGGUACAGCCCUUGCAGACCAUCUAACCCCCACACCACUGUCCCCGUGCCUUCCCCAGGCACUGUUAGGAGGCCUGCCUGGGGCGGGGGCGGGCGUGUGGAGGUGGUGACACCCGCGCUGGCCCCAGCCACUUUCUCCAAGUCUGCGGGUCCCAUCGGGAAAGUGAAAAUGAAAACUGAAGCUACCCUGACUGCCUCCGCUCUGGCUGACCCGCAUUGGUCACUUAGGCUAUGUGAAAGGACGGGAAGAGUCGCGAGUUCAAGGGGUGGUGAGCCUUUUAAGAGUCUGCCCUUUCCUCUGGGUAGUAGGGAGUCUCCUUUCUCACUUCGCUGACUAGUGCAGCUACAACGCCUAUUUUUGGGCGCUCUGAUGGCCCCGGCUGGCAGCAGCCUCGCUCGUUCCCGCCCCAGUAAGUCUCCACCCCGCCCGCCCUCAGCUUCUGCCCCUGAGGCCACGCCCCCUGGAGCCCAAAGGGCACCGGACGGACCGGCGUGGGCGGGGCUUCAACAAGGGCACCUCCCUUUCUUCCUCCUCCCCUGUUCUUCUUCCCGUCGCGGGGGAGGUGCUGGAUCCUGGAGGCCUGGCGGAGACUGGGUCCAGGGGAACCCAGAAUUUCUCAUCAGGGUCCGUCCAGUCCUCGUCACCCAGCGGAGGGUGGUGUUGGCUUCGAGUUUCUCCCAGGCGCAUCUCAGCAUUCAGAACCUUUCGGGGAGGGUGGAUCCUGAAUAACCGUUUGGGCACUUCUUCCUGGUGCGCCAGCACCACCCAAGUGGAAGUGUUAAGGGGAGUAGGUAAAUAGAACUGUUGAAAGGAAAAGAAUGCCCUUGAAUUACGAAGUUCCUAGCCGAAGAAAAAUCAGGAGCAAGGACAUGAGAGUACUAAAAUUUUGAGGCAAAUUCACAGUCAGUUAAAUAAUACAAAUGGCUAGAAUUACCAUCAAGCUAUCGCUAAUUUCAAACCACCUCUUAAUUACAGCUAACAGGAUGCCUGUUAAUUACAGUAGGCACCAGGACUGAUACUUACAGAUCAAGUUCCGAUCGGAUUAUUUAGAGAAAUGCAGGUUCAGGUGUACUGUAUAGUGACUCGACUGUUCUAUACAUGACUCAGUGCUCAUCACGGGCACACAUAGCUCUAAUUAUACAGAAACUGUGCAAGAAGGCACCACAU